rnacentral:rRNA from 1 species
UACGUAGGGUGCAAGCGUUAAUCGGAAUUACUGGGCGUAAAGCGUGCGCAGGCGGUUAUGUAAGACAGAUGUGAAAUGCCCGGGCUUAACCUGGGAACUGCAUUUGUGACUGCAUGGCUAGAGUUUGGCAGAGGGGGGUAGAAUUCCACGUGUAGCAGUGAAAUGCGUAGAUAUGUGGAGGAACACCGAUGGCGAAGGCAGCCCCCUGGGUCAAGACUGACGCUCAUGCACGAAAGGCGUGGGGAGCAAACAGGAU